rnacentral:lncRNA from 1 species
UUUUUCUUUUUGGAUUCAUCAUGUUAUCAAGAUAACUAAAUUACCAACUAACAAGAAGUAGUUAGUAUUAGAAUAAGUAGUUUGUAUUAGUCUUGUAUCUAUAAAUACACAUAUUAUAUUCAAUGAAAUCAAGAUUGGAAGAUAAUCGUUUACACUCACAUGGUAUCUAAAGUCUGUUAAGGAUCAAUUUUUCUUCUUCUCUCUAAUAGUUUUUGUUUUCUUUGUUUUUCCGCUCGCAGAUCAUGGCUGAAACAACAGUUCCGAAGUCGACCCCGGCACCUGCAGUACCGGUUCCUUCGACGCCAAGAAACUCGAUUUCUACGACGCCGAGUAUGAUGACGGCUUCUCAUCCGACGCUAAUCAAGAUCAAGCACCUCGGUCUGGUGCGGCUUGACUGAAUGAAUUACUUUACUUGGAAGGCCCAAACUUCGGUGCAUCUCAGGGGUUAUGAGCUGAUGGAGUUCGUCGAACAUAGACCGUCAGUUCACAUAAUCCAUCUUCUCCAUCGGAGUUUAUAUUUAGUGAGUAGAGGGAGAGAGUUUUCGUUACUACAACCACCGACGACUGUAGUCAUGUUUGGAAAGUUCAGAGGAGGAAAGUUGAGAGCUGAGAGGUUUGGGUUUGGGGUCGAACCAGAGGAACAUAAAAAGGAAGAUAAGGGUGGGUUAUCAUUAUAAGAAAUAAGAUAUAAGAUGACGAUCUUAUGAUGGUGGAAAUCUGCCAUCAUUAGACCGUCAGGACGACAACCGUCAAGAUAACCCUAUAUCCGCCAUCGAUAAUCGUCAUCUAUUAUUCGACCCAAUUUUCCACCAAAAAAUAAUAGAUGGCGAAAAUCCGGUCAUUGAAUCUAAAAAAAUUCGCAGAAACUGAAAAUUAUAUAGUUACGAAAAUCCGUCAUGUAUUAUAUGACGCGAAAAAAAUUUGACGUCAAUUUAUCGAUGACAGUUAUUUAUAUUUAUGACGGAAGA